rnacentral:rRNA from 1 species
CACUCCUGCGGGAGGCAGCAGUGGGGAAUAUUGGACCAUGGGCGCAAGCCUGAUCCAGCCAUGCCGCGUGAGUGAUGAAGGCCCUAGGGUUGUAAAGCUCUUUCACCGGUGAAGAUAAUGACGGUAACCGGAGAAGAAGCCCCGGCUAACUUCGUGCCAGCAGCCGCGGUAAUACGAAGGGGGCUAGCGUUGUUCGGAUUUACUGGGCGUAAAGCGCACGUAGGCGGACUAUUAAGUCAGGGGUGAAAUCCCGGGGCUCAACCCCGGAACUGCCUUUGAUACUGGUAGUCUUGAGUUCGAGAGAGGUGAGUGGAAUUCCGAGUGUAGAGGUGAAAUUCGUAGAUAUUCGGAGGAACACCAGUGGCGAAGGCGGCUCACUGGCUCGAUACUGACGCUGAGGUGCGAAAGCGUGGGGAGCAAACAGGAUUAGAAACCCCAGUAGUCCCAUG